rfam:Lingula anatina scaffold2355, whole genome shotgun sequence.
GCCCGGAUAGCUCAGUCGGUAGAGCAUCAGACUUUUACGGAUGAUUAAGUUAUCUGAGGGUCCAGGGUUCGAGUCCCUGUUCGGGCG